CCCAGAGCCGUGCAGAGACCAGACUCUGAAGAACUCAGUAUGUCUGACUCACUGAGGAACCGCAGGUUACAACACUGGCUUAAUGAGCCCAACUCGACCUUCUCCCAAUCGAUGAUAGAUGGCGCUGAAGCAGCAGAUGAUGAUAAUGAGUCAGGAUACUCAUCUGUCAGUCAUGAUGACGACCAAUCAUCAAGUUCAUCUGAUCCAUCCCUCCACAGUGAUUGGUCAAAUGGAAAAAUGAUUGCUUUAAAGAAACUAGAAAAAAGUGACCCAAA